GCAAUUUCACAUAAUUUAUUUCUCACAAAAGUCCUGUGAAGUAGGUAUUAUUAACACUAUUUUAAUGAUGCUGCUAAUAAACGGCAGAAUGUGCUAUGAAGGUAUAACCCAGGCUGCAACUUCACCCUUCACCAGCAGAAACUCGUCUCUAGUAAAUGAUGUACUCCAGAAUGAAAAUUCCUCAAGUGAAAUGCAUGAGAUUAGGUAUACUUGAGGGCAAAUAACAAGGAACAUAUAAGCUGGUCUCAGGAGACAUUUUGGAUCACCUGGUAAAGACUUCACCUCAGCAGAUUACAACCGUCUUCUGAAGUCUUGGAGAUAGUCCCCAAGGAACUUGUCGGGAACACAGCAAGGUGGUGUCCUUAGAGUGAGUUAGGAGGAGGCUUGCAAUUUUACUGCCAGCCUGUUUGUUAGUCAGGGAAGGGCUCUGGUGGAAAAUGCCCAAGUGUAACUGGGGAAGCAUUGCAGUCUGCUCCAAGGAGAGGAGCCAUCCUCCUUACAGAUGGCUGAAGAUCUUCAUGAGCAACAAAGUUGAAAGUUCCCAAAGAAUCCUCAUAUUUUAAUUCAUAUAAUAACACAAUAGCCAAUAUUUAUAUAAUGUUUUGAACUUUUAUAGCACUUUUACCCAUGACCAUACUCUUUCAGAAAUAGUAUGGGGUGUGAUGAUGGAUUUGAGUUUGAAUUCUGGUUCAACCUAUUGCCUAUGUGAUCUUAGGUAGGUUACUUAACCUCUCAGGACCUGUUUUCUCCUCUGUGAAAUGGCAAUAGUGCUCUGGUCAAAGUGAUACCCACUUUAUAGGAUAAGGAUUGAGUGAGACAAAUGCCUAGUAUGACAUUUGACACAUAGGAUGCACUCAGUUUCCUUUCCUUCUCUAAAUGUGGUUAUUUGCAUCAGUGGAGCUCAAACUUCCAAGAUAGUUGCAUGUUUAUGAAGGUAACAUUUUCUCUUCAAAUAUGUCUCAUGUUACACAAUGGUUCUUAACUCCAGCAAUGGGGGUGGAGGUGGUGAUGUCUGUAUUGUUAAAAAGCACCUGCAUCUCCCCACUCCCUCACUGAGAA